UUCAAAGAAGAUAAAAAACUUGCCCCAGGUCACAGUAGGUGAUGGAGCUGGAUGUUGAACUCAAGUGUGUGAUGCCAGAGGCUACACUCUUAACUACUGUGCUAUGUAGAACACUCUAGAAGCACAGAGGAAGGCAGGAAACCCAGCUGAGGGGGGAGGGCCCAGAGAGAAAGGGCGUUGCUGGAAGUCCAUUUGACCUCUGUUCUGGUUAUCCAUCACAAACUACCUCAACUUAAUGCUGUAGACCAGCACUUGUGUACUGUCACCAUCUCUCGUGGUUCUGGGGAGCGACUGGGCUCAUCUGUGGGUUCUCAUUCAGGGUCUCCCAUGUGGUUGCAGUCUGAUGGCGGCUGGGGCAGGAGUUGUCCUUGAAGGCUUCUUCUCUCACCUGUAUGGUGUUGGAGGCUGGCUCUUGGCCAGAACCUCAGCUGGAGCUGUGAGGGCCUUUCCAGGUGACCUGGGCUUCCCGGCAGCAUGAUGGCUGUGUGACAGUGGUCCCGAGAGAGGCAGGUGGAGCUGGGUUACCUUUUAUGACUUAGCCUCGGAAGUAACUUACUGUCACUUCUGCUGUACUCCCCUCACUAGACAUGGGUCACAAAGACCAGCUCAUUUUCAAGGGGCGGGGACUCAGACGUCACCUCUCCAUGGGAUGAGGGUCAAGAAGUUUGCAGCAGUGUUUGUAUAAGCUCGAUAUCAGAAGAUAGGUAGAAGGAUACGUAAGAAGAUAAGGAGCAAAGGAGAGAGCAUCCUCGGCAGCAGCUGAUCCCGGUGUCCAGAACCAGGGCAAGGGAACUGGGGGAGAGUGGAAGAAAGAGGAGGGCAGAUUUUGAGGAGAAGCUGAAAGAAGCUCUGGGGAACAGCUUCCUUUUGAUUGGCUCUCAAAUGGAAGCACAUCUAAAUUAUCAAGAGAUUGGUGGAACAGACAAACAGCAAUGCCUGGAAUGAGGUUUCAAGUGGGAGGACUGUCUAAGGCAGAGGCGUGGGGUCUUUGGCUCCCCAGGAAGCUGAGUGACCCACAGCUCACACAGAGCCUUCUUUGCUCCCCAGCCAUCACCGUCUGCCAGGGAAUCUGCUCCAGUUAACACACAGCAGGGUGACUGAAGUCUCACCAUGUGUCACCAACACCCAACACUUUGGGCCCACUGGGGGCUCCACGUGGCACAGGGGUUGGGGCCGACUCCCCUCUGGCUUCCUUCAGUGGCUCUAUCACCCAGGAAAUACCAAGCUGUUCUGAGCCUUUUGGUG
rnacentral:lncRNA from 1 species